GAAACCCAACUCAAAAAGAGAAGUACUUGCCUAAGGUUUUAUGCAUUUCUGCUUACACUCAUUGUUCCCAAUUUCCCUAAGAAUGUGUUAGACCUCCAAUAUUAUUUCAGUACAGGAGGAGAGGAAAUAAAAAGUAACACGUGAGGGUGAGGCACAUGUGAGUGAUGGGUUGGUUAGGCAUAUAAAUAAGUUUGUUAAGGGCGGGAGAGGGUAUUGAGUAUUUUGGUUAUUUGAAUUUUUCUGUUAUUCCUUGAGAGAGAGGGAAACAGAGGUUGGUUACUUUUCUGUUAUUUCAUUCAAUAAUAUUGAAUUCCUAUACACUUGCUACGAGUUCCAUCAAAUUGGUAUCAGAGCCAUCGAUUCAGGGCAAGAAAGAAGAAGAUGGUACAGACCAGAAUGGAGGACAAAAUGGAAACGUUUGAUCAAGAGAUUCAAGGAAUCAAAAAAGAGAUCGGGAAAUUACCAGCGAUAGAGAAAGCAUUGAACGAUUUAGUGAAAGGAUUGGAGAGACAGAAUCAAAUGAUGAUAUGAUUCAUGGAAUCGGCCACCCAGGAGAGAUCCACGAUGAACGAAAAGAUUACAGAGCUGUUGAUACGGAGUACUCCGAUGAAGAACAACGAUGACGGCGAAGGAUCUUCCAUUCGCAAAAACAAACCCUAAACCCUAAACCCUAAAUAAAAACGAAUGAGGACGCUAAUGGCGAUCGCAACAAAUUCAAGAAGGUGGAGAUGCCAAUCUUCAAUGGAGACGAUCCGAAUUUGUGGUUGUUUCGCGCUGAAAGGUAUUUUCAAAUUCAUAAACUGACUGAUUUCGAAAAGAUGACUGUGGCAAUAAUUAGCUUCGAAGGAACUGCGCUGAACUGGUAUCGGUCUCAUGAAGAGCGAGAUAAAUUCGUCGAUUGGGUGAACUUAAAAGAAAGAGUGUUGGUCCGAUUUCGAUCAACAAGGGAAGGUUCUUUGUACGGGCGGUUCUUGCGCAUUCAACAUACAACUACGGUGGAAGAAUACCGAAAUCUGUUUGAUAAACUAGUCGCACCUCUGUCGGAUCUGGCCGAUAAAGUGGUAGAAGAGACGUUCUUGUCAGGAUUGAAGCCAUGGAUACAGGCUGAGAUGGAUUUAUGUGAACCUUAAGGAUUAUCACAAAUGAUGAUAAUCGCGCAGAAGGUAGAAAACAGAGAAGAUAUUAGAAGAGAAGCGAACCUUCCUGGUUAUUCGGGAGCGAAACUGAGUAAUUCUGGAAGUGGAAACAAAACCAGCACAUUUGGGAAUUCUGGAGAAAGUAAGGGAAAUUGGAACUGGCCGAUGAGAACCAUCACGUUGAGAGGAACGGCUGGCGAAGAGGUACGGGAAACAGGUCCAACGAAAAGAUUAUCUGAUGCCAAAUUUCAAUCACGAAAGGAGAAGGGACUCUGUUUUCGGUGUAAUGAGAAAUAUUCUCAUGAUCACAAGUGUAAGAUGAAGGAACAGAGAGAGUUACGUAUGCUGGUAGUAAUGGGGGAUAAUGAGGAAUAUGAAAUCAUUGAAGAAGAGGAGGUAGAACAGAAAGAGUUGAAUGUGGCUGAAGUUAUCCAAGAAGAGCAGGCUGUGGUGGAGUUGUCGAUAAACUCAGUAGUGGGAUUAUCUAAUCCAGGAACUAUGAAGGUGAAAGGAAAAUUACUAGGAAAGGAGAUCAUUGUGUUAAUAGAUUGCGGAGCAACACAUAACUUCAUUUCAGAAAGUUUAGUUGAGGAAUUGCAGAUAAGCACGAAGAGUACUACAAAUUAUGGAGUCAUAUUAGGCUCUGGAACGGCUAUAAAAGGGAAGGGAGUUUGUGAAGCCAUUGAAAUGAUGAUUGGAGAAUGGUGAGUGACUGAUGAUUUUUUGCCGCUGGAGCUAGGAGGCGUGGAUGCAAUAUUGGGAAUGCAAUGAUUAUACUCUCUUGGUAUAACUGAAGUAGAUUGGAAAAACUUAAUUCUGACUUUUACUCACCACGGAGAGAAGGUUGUUAUAAGGGGAGAUCCAAGUCUAACAAAGGCAAGAGUCAGUUUAAAAGCCCUUGUGAAAUCUUGGGGAGAUAGGAUCAAGGGUUCUUGGUCGAAUGCAAAGCCUUAGAAAGAAGGGAAUCUUUAGAAGUGGAUGAUACGUUUGAUGAAGUCUUGACUGUAGAAGAGUCAGUGGCAGUAGUGUUGAAAAGCUUCGAAGAUGUCUUUGAUUGGCCCGAAACCUUACCACCACGAAGAGUGAUAGAACACCAAAUUCAUCUAAAGAAGGGAACUGAUCCAAUGAAUGUACGACCUUAUAGGUAUGCAUAUCAACAAAAGACAGAAAUGGAGAGACUGGUGGAAGGAAUGCUGGCAUCGGGAGUAAUACGGCCGAGCACAAGUCCCUAUUCCAGUCCAGUAUUAUUGGUGAGAAAGAAAGAUGGAAGCUAGCGUUUUUGUGUGGAUUACAGGGCUCUGAAUAAUGUAACCGUACCAGAUAAGUUUCUAAUCCCAGUGAUUAAGGAGUUGUUUGAUGAGUUGAAUGGGGCUACAAUUUUCUCGAAGAUUGAUCUAAAAUCAGGGUACCAUCAAAUUAGGAUGAGUAUUGAUGACAUUGAAAACACAGCAUUCAGAACUCAUGAGGGUCAUUAUGAGUUUAUGGUUAUGCCGUUUGGGUUGACCAAUGCACCAUCCACUUUUCAAUCAUUGAUGAAUACUAUAUUCAGGCCAUACCUGAGAAAGUUCGUUUUAGUGUUCUUUUAUGACAUUUUGAUCUAUAGCAAGGGGUUGAAAAAUCAUUUGAAUCAUUUGAGAGCAAUAUUGGAAGUGUUGAGGAAGAAUGAACUUUAUGCAAACAGGAAGAAAUGUAAUUUUGCUCAGUCUCGUGUAGACUACUUAGGACAUAUUAUUUCAGGAGAUGGAGUUGAGGUGGAUCCUGAAAAGAUCAGAGCUAUAAAGGAGUGGCCCGUUCCUGUUAACGUGAGGGAAGUCAGGGGGUUUCUUGGUCUGACAGGGUAUUAUCGCAAAUUUGUCCAGAAUUAUGGGACAAUUGCAGCCCCAUUGACACAGUUAUUGAAGAUAGGAGGAUUUAAGUUGACAGAGGAGGCUCAAGAAGCGUUCAAUAGGCUGAAACAAGCCAUGAUGACGCUUCUGGUAUUAGCUCUGCCUGAUUUCAAUGUGUCUUUUGAAAUAGAGACUGAUGCUUCUGGAUUCGGAUUGGGGGCUGUAUUAAUCCAGAACCAACGUCCAAUUGCAUAUUAUAGCCAUACAUUGGCAGUAAGGGAUAGAGUAAAACCCAUAUACGAGAGAGAGUUAGUGGCAGUGCAAAGGUGGCGUCCAUAUUUGUUGGGGAAGAGUUUUUUAGUCAAAAUUGAUCAACGCUCUUUGAAGUUUCUGCUGGAACAGAGAGUUAUACAACCUCAAUACCAGAAAUGGAUAUCCAAACUUCUGGGAUAUUCCUUCGAGGUGGUGUAUAAACCGGGGUUGGAAAAUAAAGCCGCAAAUGCAUUGUCCAGAGUACCAUCAACAGUACAAUUGAAUCAAUUGACAGCUCCUAAGAUGAUCGAUAUCGAAGUCAUCAAGGCAGAAGUGGCGCAAGAUGAGAAGUUGAAGAAUAUUAUGCAGAAGCUAAGCGAGACAGAAGGGUUGGAGGAAGGAAGGUAUUCAAUUAAACAGGGUAUGCUGAUGUACAAAGAUCGAAUAGAGUUAUCUAAAACUUCUAAAUUGAUUCCAACCAUCUUACACACUUAUCAUGACUCGGUUUUUGGAGGUCACUCGGGAUUCUUAAGAACGUAUAAAAGGAUGGCUGCAGAGUUACAUUGGGAAGGAAUGAAGCGGGAUGUGAAGAAGUAUUACGAAGAGUGCAUGAUUUGUCAAAGAAAUAAGAUUUUGGCGCUAUCACCAGCUGGACUAUUAACACCGUUAGAGGUACUCGGUCGUGUGUGGGAGGAUAAUUCAAUGGAUUUUGUGGAAGGGUUACCUAAAGCAGCAGGAUAUGAAGUGUUAUUUGUAGUGGUUGAUCGGUUCAGUAAAUAUGGGCAUUUCAUACCUAUGAAACAUCCAUAUACAGCAAAGACGGUAGCUGAAAUAUUUGUGAAGGAGGUCGUUCGACUUCAUGGAUAUCCUAAAUCCAUUGUUUCGGAUAGAGACAAGGUGUUCUUAAGUCACUUUUGGAGGGAAUUAUUUCGCGUGGCAGGAACGAAGUUGAACCACAGUACAGCGUAUCAUCCACAAACGGAUGGUCAAUCAGAAGUGGUUAACCGUGGAGUAGAGACAUUCUUACUUUGCUUUUGUGGGGAAAAGCCAAAGGAAUGGGUUAAAUGGAUACCGUGGGCAGAAUAUUGGUAUAACACCACGUAUCAGUGUGCACUUGGAGUCACACCGUUUCAGGUUGUAUACGGACGUUUACCACCUCCUUUGAUAUACUAUGGGGAGAGGGACACUACUAACUCCAUGUUAGAUGAACAGCUGAAAGAACGAGAUGUGGUGUUAGGAGCCUUACGUGAACAUUUGAGAGUUGCACAGGACAAAAUGAAGAAAUAUGCCGAUACCAAAAGAAGAGAGGUUCAUUACCAGGUCGGGGAUUUGGUAUUAUUGAAGAUAAGACCAUAUCGACAAGUGACGGUCAGAAGAAAAAGAAAUGAAAAACUUUCUCCUAAGUUCUUUGGGCCGUACAAGGUGAUAGCUAAAAUUGGUACAGUGGCUUACAAGCUAGAAUUACCAGAGAACUCUACCAUACACCCGGUAUUUCAUGUAUCUCAGCUCAAGAAAGUAUUAGGAGAGCACAAGGAAGAUAGGAAUGAUGUUCCCUGUUUAACGGAAAAUCAUGAAUGGAGAGAGAUUCCCGAGGAGGUUUAUAGUUAUUCCAAAAACAAAGCGGGAGAAUGGGAGGUGUUAGUUCAGUGGGAGGGUCUUCCACAACAUGAGGCUACUUGGGAGUUAUAUGAGGAUUUGAAGCAGCGUUUUCCAGAUUUUCACCUUGAGGACAAGGUGAAUUUGGAGAAGGAGAGUAAUGUUAGACCUCCAAUAUUAUUUCAGUACAGGAGGAGAGGAAAUAAAAAGUAACACGUGAGGGUGAGGCACGUGUGAGUGAUGGGUUGGUUAGCCAUAUAAAUAAGUUUGUUAAGGGCGGGAGAGGGUAUUGAGCAUUUUGGUUAUUUGAAUCUUUCUGUUAUUCCUUGAGAGAGAGGGAAACAGAGAUUGGCUACUUUUCUGUUAUUUCAUUCAAUAAUAUUGAAUUCCUAUACACUUGCUACGAGUUCCAUCAGAAUGUUCAUGUUAUAAUGUUUACCUAACUGCAGACAGAAAUGUCAUACUUCAUUUUCUUUGGUCAUAGCCAUAUGGCAUUGUCAUACCAGAUAAUUUCUGUUUUUUCAUCUGUGGAAAUAAAUUUUGUCAUCCCUUAACGAUUUUUAACUGAAGAAUAUAAUUUGUCUUUCAUGCGUUCUCAUUCUCUAUUUCCUUCUCAU
rnacentral:lncRNA from 1 species